rnacentral:rRNA from 1 species
GAUGAACGCUAGCUACAGGCUUAACACAUGCAAGUCGAGGGGAAACGAUAUUGGAAGCUUGCUUCCGAUAGGCGUCGACCGGCGCACGGGUGAGUAACGCGUAUCCAACCUGCCCAUCACUUGGGAAUAACCUUGCGAAAGUAAGACUAAUGCCCAAUGACAUUUAUAGAAGGCAUCGGAAAUGAAUUAAAGAUUUAUCGGUGAUGGAUGGGGAUGCGUCUGAUUAGCUUGUUGGCGGGGUAACGGCCCACCAAGGCGACGAUCAGUAGGGGUUCUGAGAGGAAGGUCCCCCACAUUGGAACUGAGACACGGUCCAAACUCCUACGGGAGGCAGCAGUGAGGAAUAUUGGUCAAUGGGCGAGAGCCUGAACCAGCCAAGUAGCGUGCAGGAAGACGGCCCUAUGGGUUGUAAACUGCUUUUAUAGGGGAAUAAAGUGAGCCACGUGUGGUUUUUUGCAUGUACCCUAUGAAUAAGGACCGGCUAAUUCCGUGCCAGCAGCCGCGGUAAUACGGAAGGUCCGGGCGUUAUCCGGAUUUAUUGGGUUUAAAGGGAGCGUAGGCCGGAGAUUAAGCGUGUUGUGAAAUGUAGACGCUCAACGUCUGCACUGCAGCGCGAACUGGUUUCCUUGAGUACGCAUAAAGUGGGCGGAAUUCGUGGUGUAGCGGUGAAAUGCUUAGAUAUCACGAAGAACUCCGAUUGCGAAGGCAGCUCACUGGGGCGCAACUGACGCUGAAGCUCGAAAGCGCGGGUAUCGAACAGG